rnacentral:rRNA from 1 species
CCUACGGGUGGCAGCAGUGGGGAAUAUUGCUCAAUGGGGGAAACCCUGAUGCAGCGACGCCGCGUGAGUGAUGAAGGAUUUCGGAAUGUAAAGCUCUAUCAGCAGGGAAGAUAAUGACAGUAUCUGACCAAUAAGCACCGGCUAACUACGUGCCAGCAGCCGCGGUAAUACGUAGGGUGCAAGCGUUACCCGGAAUUACUGGGCGUAAAGGGAGCGUAGACGGUCAUGUAAGUCUGAAGUGAAAGCCUGGAGCUUAACCACGGGACUGCUUUGGAAACUGUGUAUCUGGAGUGUAGGAGAGGUAGGUGGAAUUCCUGGUGUAGGGGUGAAAUCCGUAGAUAUCAGGAGGAAUAC